UGGGAAUUUUGGACAAUGGGCGCAAGCCUGAUCCAGCCAUGCCGCGUGCGGGAAGAAGGCCUUCGGGUUGUAAACCGCUUUUGUCAGGGAAGAAAUCUUCUGAGUUAAUACCUCGGGAGGAUGACGGUACCUGAAGAAUAAGCACCGGCUAACUACGUGCCAGCAGCCGCGGUAAUACGUAGGGUGCAAGCGUUAAUCGGAAUUACUGGGCGUAAAAGCGUGCGCAGGCGGUUUUGUAAGACAGAGGUGAAAUCCCCGGGCUCAACCUGGGAACUGCCUUUGUGACUGCAAGGCUUGAGUGCGGCAGAGGGGGGAUGGAAUUCCGCGUGUAGCAGUGNAAUGCGUAGAUAUGCGGAGGAAACACCGAUGGCGAAGGCAAAUCCCCUGGGCCUGCACUGACGCUCAUGCNACGAAAGCGUGGGGAGCAAACAGGAUUAGAUACCC
rnacentral:rRNA from 1 species